AUAUGGAUAGCUCAAUGGUAGAGCAAUCGGCAAAAGGCCGAUGGUUGCGGGUUCGAUUCCGGCUCCAUAUACCA
rnacentral:tRNA from 1 species